UCUCUGCUGGCUCAGUGGUAAAGAAUCUGUCUCCAAUGCAGGAGACCCAGGUUUAAGCCCUGGGUCAGGAA
rnacentral:tRNA from 1 species